rnacentral:rRNA from 1 species
GACGAACGCUGGCGGCAGGCUUAACACAUGCAAGUCGAGCGCCCCGCAAGGGGAGCGGCAGACGGGUGAGUAACGCGUGGGAAUCUACCCAUCCCUACGGAAUAGCUCCGGGAAACUGGAAUUAAUACCGUAUACGCCCUUUGGGGGAAAGAUUUAUCGGGGAUGGAUGAGCCCGCGUUGGAUUAGCUAGUUGGUGGGGU